rnacentral:rRNA from 1 species
AGCCUGAUGCAGCGACGCCGCGUGAGGGAUGACGGCCUUCGGGUUGUAAACCUCUUUCAGCAGGGAAGAAGCCACAAGUGACGGUACCUGCAGAAGAAGCGCCGGCUAACUACGUGCCAGCAGCCGCGGUAAUACGUAGGGCGCAAGCGUUGUCCGGAAUUAUUGGGCGUAAAGAGCUCGUAGGCGGUUUGUCGCGUCUGCUGUGAAAGCCCGGGGCUCAACCCCGGGUCUGCAGUGGGUACGGGCAGACUAGAGUGCAGUAGGGGAGACUGGAAUUCCUGGUGUAGCGGUGAAAUGCGCAGAUAUCAGGAGGAACACCGAUGGCGAAGGCAGGUCUCUGGGCUGUUACUGACGCUGAGGAGCGAAAGCAUGGGGAGCGAACAGGAUUAGAUACCCUGGUAGUCCAUGCCGUAAACGU